GCAAGUCGGACGGGCCAUUUGUCGGGGUAACUCGACGGACGGUUAGUGGCGGACGGGUGAGUAAUGCAUGGGCAACGUACCCUGAGUAUGGGGAUAGCGGCGUCUCUUCGGAGACUUUAGCGAAAGUGCCGGUAAUACCCAGUAACAUCGGAUGGUCGCAUGGCCGACCGAUCAAAGGGUGGGGACCCUUCGGGGCCUAUCGACUCGGGAGCGGCCCAUGUCCUAUCAGCUUGUUGGUGAGGUAACGGCCCACCAAGGCGACGACGGGUAGCGGGCGUGAGAGCGUGGCCCGCCACAUCGGGACUGAGACACUGCCCGGACACCUACGGGUGGCUGCAGCAACGAAUCUUCCGCAAUGGGCGCAAGCCUGACGGAGCGACGCCGCGUGCAGGAUGAAGUCCCUCGGGAUGUAAACUGCUGUCGAGGGUAGACAAGCAAUGGGCUCGAACAUAGCCCGGCGUUGAGUCGCCCCACAGGAAGCCUCGGCUAACUCCGUGCCAGCAGCCGCGGUAAUACGGAGGAGGCAAGCGUUGUUCGGAAUCAUUGGGCUUAAAGCGCGUGUAGGCGGACCGGAAAGUGCUUUGUGAAAGCCCUCGGCUCAACCGAGGAAUGGCUUGGCAUACUUCCGGUCUUGA
rnacentral:rRNA from 1 species